ACGCUGGCGGCAGGCUUAACACAUGCAAGUCGAACGGUAACAGGAGAAAGCUUGCUUUCUUGCUGACGAGUGGCGGACGGGUGAGUAAUGCUUGGGAAUCUGGCUUAUGGAGGGGGAUAACGACGGGAAACUGUCGCUAAUACCGCGUAGAGUCGAGAGACGAAAGUGCGGGACCGCAAGGCCGCAUGCCAUAGGAUGAGCCCAAGUGGGAUUAGGUAGUUGGUGGGGUAAUAGCCUACCAAGCCGACGAUCUCUAGCUGGUCUGGGAGGAUGACCAGCCACACCGGGACUGAGACACGGCCCGGACUCCUACGGGAGGCAGCAGUGGGGAAUAUUGCGCAAUGGGGGCAACCCUGACGCAGCCAUGCCGCGUGAAUGAAGAAGGCCUUCGGGUUGUAAAGUUCUUUCGGUAUUGAGGAAGGUUGUUGUGUUAAUAGCACGACAAAUUGACGUUAAAUACAGAAGAAGCACCGGCUAACUCCGUGCCAGCAGCCGCGGUAAUACGGAGGGUGCGAGCGUUAAUCGGAAUAACUGGGCGUAAAGGGCACGCAGGCGGACAUUUAAGUGAGGUGUGAAAUCCCCGGGCUUAACCUGGGAAUUGCAUUUCAGACUGGGAGUCUAGAGUACUUUAGGGAGGGGUAGAAUUCCACGUGUAGCGGUGAAAUGCGUAGAGAUGUGGAGGAAUACCGAAGGCGAAGGCAGCCCCUUGGGAAUGUACUGACGCUCAUGUGCGAAAGCGUGGGGAGCAAACAGGAUUAGAUACCCUGGUAGUCCACGCUGUAAACGCUGUCGAUUUGGGGAUUGGGCUUUAAGCUUGGUGCCCGAAGCUAACGUGAUAAAUCGACCGCCUGGGGAGUACGGCCGCAAGGUUAAAACUCAAAUGAAUUGACGGGGGCCCGCACAAGCGGUGGAGCAUGUGG
rnacentral:rRNA from 1 species